rnacentral:rRNA from 1 species
GACGAACGCUGGCGGCGUGCUUAACACAUGCAAGUCGAACGGAAAGGCCCUGCUUUGGGGGGGUGCUCGAGUGGCGAACGGGUGAGUAACACGUGAGUAACCUGCCCUUGACUUUGGGAUAACUUCAGGAAACUGGGGCUAAUACCGGAUAGGAGCUCCUGCUGCAUGGUGGGGGUUGGAAAGUUUCGGCGGGUGGGGAUGGACUCGCGGCUUAUCAGCUUGUUGGUGGGGUAGUGGCUUACCAAGGCUUUGACGGGUAGCCGGCCUGAGAGGGUGACCGGCCACAUUGGGACUGGGAUACGGCCCAGACUCCUACGGGGGGCAGCAGGGGGGAAUAUUGCACAAUGGGUGGAAGCCUGAUGCAGCAACGCCGGGUGCGGGAUGACGGCCUUCGGGUUGUAAACCGCUUUCGCUCUUGACGAAGCUUUGUGUGACGGUAGUGGGUAAAGAAGCACCGGCUAACUACGUG